rnacentral:rRNA from 1 species
GAUGAACGCUGGCGGCGUGCCUAAUACAUGCAAGUCGAGCGAACGGACGAGAAGCUUGCUUCUCUGAUGUUAGCGGCGGACGGGUGAGUAACACGUGGAUAACCUACCUAUAAGACUGGGAUAACUUCGGGAAACCAGAGCUAAUACCGGAUAAUAUUUUGAACCGCAUUGUUCAAAAGUGAAAGACGGUCUUGCUGUCACUUAUAGAUGGAUCCGCGCUGCAUUAGCUAGUUGGUAAGGUAACGGCUUACCAAGGCAACGAUGCAUAGCCGACCUGAGAGGGUGAUCGGCCACACUGGAACUGAGACACGGUCCAGACUCCUACGGGAGGCAGCAGUAGGGAAUCUUCCGCAAUGGGCGAAAGCCUGACGGAGCAACGCCGCGUGAGUGAUGAAGGUCUUCGGAUCGUAAAACUCUGUUAUUAGGGAAGAACAUAUGUGUAAGUAACUGUGCACAUCUUGACGAUACCUAAUCAGAAAGCCACGGCUAACUACGUG